AAUAUUGACUAUACUUAUCAUCGAGUGUUGAUUGCCGAUUAAGAUAAAUAUGGUUAACUACUUAACUCUUUCGCUGUGGUUCCUGUCUGUAUAACACAGAUCACUAUACUGACACUGGUUUGCUGUUUGGUUCAACACUAUGUAUUCGGUCAAUCGCCGACGUCCGUCAGGUGUUUCAAAAUCAGGCGUAAUUUUAUGACAUCCUGUUCAAUACGUCAACGAAGAUUACGUAUUUACGUGUGGAUAAAUGACUGACUGUGGUUAGGU